GUUACGUUAUGUUAUAUGAAUCAUGGUUUACCACAAUAAAGUCUAUUGUUCUCACUGUAGAGUGACGUAGCAGUGGAAGUCAGUGGUUCCAGCUAAUGAAAACCACUUUUAACUGAGUAAGUGAAACCAAGGGUUGGUCUGAUUGGUCAUACAGUAAUAAACAUACCUGCCUUUUCAUGCUAAGUGUAACUGUUUCGGUCACACAUUUCUACUGUGCUAAAUACAACUCAACAUUUCCAGCUCAUCUCUGUAGCACAGCCUUACGAAGGUACCUACCACAGGCACACCAUGUGAAAAAAGUGUUGCUUCUGUAAAAUAGCUUUCUACCAUCCUGCUAAUGUAUUAAAAAUUAAAUGAAAUUUAUGAAGCCAAAACAAACAUAUGGGGCAAAAUUACAUCUUCCAAAUUAUAAAGUUAAAUCAAUCCCUGUCUAUUUAUAUUAUACUUUAUACGUUAGUCAUAUCAAAUAUUUUGGUUGUACUGUAAAUAGAUUUUUAGUCAUAGUAAUAUAAUAUACGUACAGUAGAGCAUAUAAACAGUUACUGAAAAAUUCUAACAGCUGUGGAAGCAGGCCAGCUAAACCGCUCCCUCUCCACCAGCAGAUGGCGCAUUAACCACAUCACCCCUCCACAGUUUGCCUCUGGCUUCCUGUUACGGUAGAGGUAGAGAGGAGUGUAGGACGGCUUUCUCACAGAGGAUUUUGCUGUUGAAUCUUUUCGGUGCAUCGGUGAAGGUAAAAGAUGGCGCAUUAACCACAUCACCCCUCCACAGUUUGCCUCUGGCUUCCUGUUACGGUAGAGGUAGAGAGGAGUGUAGGAUGGCUUCCUCACAGAGGAUUGUGCAGUUGAAUCUUUUCGGUGCAUCGGUGAAGGUAAAAGGUAAGCCAUUCCUGUAUUAUUGGUCUCUCAUUUACAAAUGAAUUUCAUCAUUAUACAUAUGCAUUGUUACAUAUUCUGUUAAAUGCAAAAGUACUGGGACAGUAUUUUUGUUUUGGCUGUGUACUCUAACACAUUGGAUUUACACUGUAUCAAACAGUUGAUUUUGACACACCCAAAGUUUUGGCUAUGCCUCUGAUCAAUUUAUUCUGUAGCCUCAUGAUGGCCUAAUUUACUGGCAUUGACACUUUCUGGGUGUCAUGUAUAUUAAUUAAUGCCAUGCAGCUGGUAUUCAGCAAGAAUCAGCUGAGCAGCUAAUUACUUUUGUUCCUCUAAAAUGGGGGACUAUUUAUAAAAAGUGUUGCAAUUCCUACACGGUUAAAGCUGUAUACACCCUCAAAUUAAAGCUGACAGUCUGCACUUUAACCCCAUACUCAAUUUUUUAUUUUCAAUGUGCUGGAGCAGAAAAGCCAAAAAAACAAAAAUCGUGUCACCGUGCUGAUAUUUUUGCAUUUAACUGUAUAUGUAUCGGGCGGCAGGGUGGUGCAGUGGGUAGCACUGUCGCCUCACAACAAGAAGGUCGUGUAUUCGAAUCUCAGCCAGGGUACUCUGGUUUCCUCCCACAGUCCAAAGACAUGCAGGUAGGCUAAUUGGAGACUCUAAAUUGCCCAUAGGUAUGAGUGAGCGAGUGAAUUGGUGUGUGUGCCCUGCGAUAGAUUGGCGGCCUGUCCAGGGUGUGUUCCUGCCUCUCGCCCAAUGCAUGCUGAGAUAGGCUCCAGUGACCCCCCGCAACGCUGCUCAGGAUAUAGAUAAUGGAUGGACCCGGCUCAGGAUAAGCGGGUAUAGAUAAUGGAUGGAUGUAUGUGUGUCCAUGGAAUCUUUUCACCAAAGGGUGAGCUUGUACUUGCCUAACCUUGUUGUUGUGGCUGGCAUUUCACUGACUAACUGGCUAAAGCUAGGUGUUGAUUUGAGACAAAAACCAGAAUAUUUUUGCUCAUCACUAUUUGGUCCAUAGAAAAAUUGGUGAGAACUAUGUUUUUUUGUGCAUUAAUAUGCACAAUCUGGUAAUACACAAUUCGUGAACUAAACGUUGUAGAUUUACAGUUUAAUUUUUAAUCAUUUAAGCCAUUGUCAGGACGGUUUCCAUCCUUAGUCAAUUUAAAAUCACAGUAGCUUUGCAACCAUUUUCCCCUGUUCCUCUUGUUCCUCUGAUGUGAUUCACACGGUGUAUGAUGUUAGGAUUAGUUUGACAGUCUUCCAUCCACCCAUCCAUCCAUCAUCUAUCAUACAAGGGCCAUAUAUUUAUCACAAAAGCUGACCCCUCUAACACCGUGAAUUAUUUAUUGCAGCAAAGAUAUUCUCAGAACAUAAAAUAAUCAAUGAAUUAAAUAUAAAUGUUUCGCUCUUCAUUACAGUAAUAUACUUGGUGACAAUACAUGUAGGCCUGCAAAGCAGUAUAUGGCAAUAUUAAUAAACAAUAGUGAAAUAGGACAUCAAGUAAUGUACCGUUAGAAAAUCAAAAGGAUCCUUUCCAAGCACCCAGCACACGUACUAGAGAACAGAAUUAAUAGUUCUUAUGAUUCUUGUGAUACCAAAACCUCCAUCUUCAUGGCCGUUCAGUAAUAAACGUGCU